ensembl:lncRNA
CACGCACACCCUUACACACCUGCAUAGGGUAGUAUACCAGGGUCCUGUGGCCACUGCAGUUGAGUAGGGUUGAGAUCAUCCAUCCCCCAGGCUUGCUUGGGAAAUGGGAGCCAUCAAGGCUGGAAAGGAAAGAAAAAAGAAAGCGGGGAAUUUGAGACAACUCGCUCGUCUAGAACAUGCUGAUAGACCACGUGAUUCCUAAAGUCUCCUGAGACUUUGUAUUGAGGAUCCCAUGGACAAAGGAGCCUGCAGGCAGACAUGGGGUUGCAAAAAAACUGGGCCUGACCUAGCGACUAAACAACAGCAAGAAGAGGAAGAGACUUUGCCCAGCAACUGUACUCAUCAGAGCCUGGAUUGCAGGCUGCCAGCUUCCAGAGCCAUGAGAAACGAAGACGUGCUGCUUAAACCACUCCAUCUACAGCAUACUGUCAUACCAGCCUGAGCAGACUUACAGUCUUAACAUAAUUGAAUUUCCCAGAAAUGCAACUGCUGUGUAAAUUGAGUGAAGCUUAUGCUUUGUUUUGUUCAGAACUUUACCAUGAGUUCUUCUCCACUCUGGAAACACACAUCAGUAACACCACUCGUGAUGUCUGAGUCAGUGAGAGAUCACACCUGUUUCAACUUGUAUGACAGCCGUGGCUUUUGUGGGAGACUGAGAACUGAUGGAAGGGAG